rnacentral:rRNA from 1 species
UAAUUACAAUUUUAUAUGUUAUAUUAUUUUUUAUAGUCAUAAAAAAAGUAGUUUAAUUUUUGAAGUAUGUGUUUGGAAUUAAAUGUUUCUGUUAUAAUUUAUUUUACUGUAAGGGAUAGAUUUAAUUUUUAUAUAAAUACAUAAAUAUGGUACCUUUUGUAUCAGGGUUAAUUAAUUUUAAUAUAUAUAUUUAUAUUUCCCGAAAUAUAGUGAUCUAAUAAUCUAUGUGAUAUUUUAUUUUAUAAAAAUUUAUAAUAGUUAAAUAGAUAUGAUAUAUAAUACGUAUUAUAUAUAUCUGGUUUUUUAAUUCUUUAAUUUAAUUUAUGUAUAAAUUUAUAUUUUUUAAUUUAUAUUUUGAAAUUUUAUUUUAUGCUAAAAAUAUGGGGGAUAAUCUCUAUUAUUUUUAUAUAAUUUAUUUUAAUAUGAGAUUUUGUAGGAUUAGAAUCAUCUAUCUUAAAUUUCGUUUUAGAUUAGUUUUUUAUAUUUUUAAUUUAUAUUAAUUAUUUAUUAUAUUAUUAAAAUUAUAAUUUUAAUACAUAUUAUUAUUUGUUAAUGAUUAAAUUAGUAGAUAAGUAAUUAAAUUUUUAGGAACUCGGCAAAUAUUAUUUUCACCUGUUUAUCAAAAACAUGUCCUUUAGGUUUUUUAUUUAAGGUCUUACCUGCCCUAUGAAUAGGUUUUAAAUGGCUGCAGUAAUUUUGACUGUGCAAAGGUAGCAUAAUCAUUUGUCUUUUAAUUGAAGUCUGGAAUGAAUGGUUUUAUGAAAAAAAAUCUAUCUAAUAUUUAUUAUUGAAUUUAAUUUUUAAGUGAAAAAUCUUAAUUAAUACAGAGGGACGAGAAGACCCUAUAGAAUUUUAUUUUUAUUUUCUUUAUAUUAUUUAUUUUUUCUAGUAUAAAGAAACGUUUAAUUUUGUUGGGGUGAUGGUAAAAUUUAAUUAACUUUUAUUUUUUUAAUUUCACUUAUUUUUGAUUUAAUUGAUCCUUUAUGAUUAUGAGAUUAAAUUACCUUAGGGAUAACAGCGUAAUUUAUUUGUAGAGUUCAUAUCGAUGAUUAAGUUUGCGACCUCGAUGUUGAAUUAAGAUUAUUUCUUGGAGUAGAUUUUUAGAUUUUAGGUCUGUUCGACCUUUAAAUUCUUACAUGAUUUGAGUUCAGAUCGGCGUGAGCCAGAUUGGUUUCUAUCUUUUGUUUAAUUUUAUAUUUUUAGUACGAAAGGACCAUUUUAUAGUAAUAUUUAUUUUUUAUUUUUGAAUUAAAUAA